CACCGCGGUUAAACGGGAGGCCCAAGUUGAUAGUCUUCGGCGUAAAGAGUGGACCGGGUAAAUAUAAACUAAAGUCGAACGCCCUCUCACGCUGUGAUACGCGCUUAAAGGUCAGAAGUACAACUACGAAAGUGACUUUAAUAGCCCUAUACCCACGAAAGCUAAGAAA
rnacentral:rRNA from 1 species